rnacentral:rRNA from 1 species
GACGAACGCUGGCGGCGUGCUUAACACAUGCAAGUCGAACGGAAAGGCCCUGCUUUUGUGGUGUGCUCGAGUGGCGAACGGGUGAGUAACACGUGAGUAACCUGCCCUUGACUUUGGGAUAACUUCAGGAAACUGGGGCUAAUACCGGAUAGGAGCUCCUGCUGCAUGGUUGUGGUUGGCAAGUUUCGGCGGUUGGGGAUGGACUCGCGGCUUAUUAGCUUGUUGGUGGGGUAGUGGCUUACCAAGGCUUUGACGGGUAGCCGGCCUGAGAGGGUGACCGGCAACAUUGGGACUGAGAUACGGCCCAGACUCCUACGGGAGGCAGAAGUGGGGAAUAUUGCACAAUGGGCGGAAGCAUGAUGCAGCAACGCCGCGUGCGGGAUGACGGCCUUCGGGUUGUAAACCGCUUUCGCCUGUGACGAAGCGUGAGUGACGGUAAUGGGUAAAGAAGCACCGGCUAACUACGUG